UGGCGGCACGCUUAACACAUGCAAGUCGAACGGAGAAUAUUUUGGUUUACUGAGAUAUUCUUAGUGGCGGACGGGUGAGUAACACGUGAGCAACCUGCCUUUGAGAGAGGGAUAGCUUCUGGAAACGGAUGGUAAUACCUCAUAACGUAGUUUUACCGCAUGAUAGGACUACCAAAGAUUUAUCACUCAAAGAUGGGCUCGCGUCUGAUUAGAUAGUUGGUGAGGUAACGGCUCACCCAAGUCGACGAUCAGUAGCCGGACUGAGAGGUUGAACGGCCACAUUGGGACUGAGACACGGCCCAGACUCCUACGGGAGGCAGCAGUGGGGAAUAUUGCACAAUGGGGGAAACCCUGAUGCAGCGAUGCCGCGUGGAGGAAGAAGGUUUUCGGAUUGUAAACUCCUGUCUUAAAGGACGAUAAUGACGGUACUUUAGGAGGAAGCUCCGGCUAACUACGUGCCAGCAGCCGCGGUAAUACGUAGGGAGCGAGCGUUGUCCGGAAUUACUGGGUGUAAAGGGAGCGUAGGCGGGAUUGCAAGUCAGAUGUGAAAUACAUGGGCUCAACCCAUGGGCUGCAUUUGAAACU
rnacentral:rRNA from 1 species